UUGAUUCUAAAAUGCUCUGGAAGUUAUUUA
rnacentral:piRNA from 1 species